GGGCGUCUGGUUUAGUUGGUAUAACGUUCGCUUCGCAUUAAGAUUAAUGAGUAUGUGAAAGGUCUGGAGUUCGAUUCUCCAGUCGUCCA